CUUCACCGAACCCAACCACACCGGACGACCGGCCCGGCCGUAGGUGGCCAGCAGGGCCUGCGCCUC
rnacentral:antisense_RNA from 1 species